rnacentral:rRNA from 1 species
CCUACGGGAGGCAGCAGUAGGGAAUUUUGCGCAAUGGGCGAAAGCCUGACGCAGCAACGCCGCGUGAUCGAGACGCCCUUCGGGGUGUAAAGAUCUGUCAGUGGGGGCGAAGCUUGACGGUACCCACAGCGGAAGCACCAGCUAACUCCGUGCCAGCAGCCGCGGUAAUACGGGGGGUGCAAGCGUUGUCCGGAAUCAUUGGGCGUAAAGAGUUCGUAGGCGGGACGUAAAGUCUGGUGUUAAAGGCAGUGGCUCAACUUCUGUACGGCACUGGAUACUUUCGUGCUCGAAUGUGGGAGAGGCAAGGGGAAGUCCUGGUGUAGCGGUGAAAUGCGUAGAUAUCAGGAGGAACACCAGUGGCGUAAGCGCUUUACUGGGCCGUAAUUGACGCUGAGGAACGAAAGCCAGGGUAGCAAAUGGGAUUAGAUACCCCUGUAGUC